AUUGAACGCUGGCGGCAGGCCUAACACAUGCAAGUCGAACGAGUGGCGGACGGGUGAGUAAUGUCUGGGAAACUGCCUGAUGGAGGGGGAUAACUACUGGAAACGGUAGCUAAUAACGCAUACCAUCGGAUGUGCCCAGAGGGGAUUAGCUAGUCGGUGGGGUAAAGGCUCACCUAGGCGACGAUGCCUAGCUGGUCUGAGAGGAUGACCAGCCACACUGGGACUGAGACACGGUCCAGACUCCUACGGGAGGCAGCAGUGGGGAAUAUUGCACAAUGGGCGCAAUCCUGAUGCAGCCAUGCCGCGUGUAUGAAGUAGGCCGUCGGGUUGUAAAGUACUUUCAGCGGGGAGGCGUUACCCGCAGAAGAAGGACCGGCUAACUCCGUGCCAGCAGCCGCGGUAAUAC
rnacentral:rRNA from 1 species